AUUUUCACAUGUAUUAAUCUAUAUACAUUGAAAACCCUACCAGACAAUGUUAUAGUUUCUACUUUUGACAGUCAUGCAUAUUUUAAAAACACUUAAAAGGGGAAAAUUAUCUAUUAUACAUUUUUAUCAUAAACAUAACCUGAUUUAAAUCGCACAACCUGAAAUUCAUUGUUUCCUUUCUUUCUGUUUCCCCUUCCUACUUUCUAAGAUUUGUGGAAACACUGAGCUCAACCUGUCGUUACUCAAAUCUUUACUAUUUUUGUUUCCUAUUUUAUGCAACAUCCAAGUUAAAUAGCCUCUCUCUUAUGACACUGUUGAUGGGAAUGUAAAUUGGUGCAGUCUCUUUUGAGGACAAUUUAACUCUGCUUAUCCUAUUUGUAAAAUGCAUAGUCCUUUUGAUCCAGCAAUUCUAAUUCUAUGAAUUUAUCUUACAGGUAUGCUAUGGUCUGAAUGUUUGUGUCUCCUCAAAAUUCAUGUGGUAAAAUCUGAAUCCCCAAAGUGAUGGUAGUAGCAGGUGGGGCCUUUGGGAGGUGAUUAUGUAAUGAGAAUGGAGCCCUCAAGAAUGGAAUUAAUGUUCUUAUGGAAAGAACUCAUAAGAGAACUCUUGCCGCACCAUGUGAAGACACAGCAAUUGGACACAAAAUUCCUGACUACUCAACAAUCAGCUCUCAAGACUCCAGCAUACUGCGAUGGCCUCAAGAGGUUUUGGUAUGCCAUCCUGAGAGGAAAAUGUCUCAAACAUCCUUUGCUACUCUAAGUGUGAUUCCUGGACAAGAAAUACCAGCAUUACCUCGGAACUUGUUAGAAAUGCAAAAUAUCAGGCCCAAAUCCAGAGGUAAGGAGUUACCACCUGCAGUAUAACAAGACACCCAGGUGAUUCUAUGGAUCUAAAGACUGAGAAUUGUUGUUUUAAGCUAGAGUGAACAGGAGUGUAUAGUUUGAAAAUGCUUUUUUAUAGUUAUUUACAUGUUUUUUGAAAACAGCAUUACUGAGCUAUAUUUCACAUACCAAACAAUUCACCCACUUAAAGUGUGUUAUUCAGUGGUUUUUAAUAUAUUCAGAGUUGUGCAAUCAUCACCACAGUCCAUUUUAGAACACUUUCAUCUCCCCAACAAGAAAUCCAAUAGCCACAGCUGUUAUUCUCCAUUUCCCCUUCAUCCCUAGGAAACUGCUAAUUUACUUUCUGUCUCUAUGGAUUUGCCUGUCCAAGACAUUCCAUCCAUAUAAAUGGAAUCAUACAAUAUGUGGUGUUUUGUG
rnacentral:lncRNA from 1 species